rnacentral:lncRNA from 1 species
CCCUGGAGUGUGGGGGGCAGUCAGCAAAACCUGGUGGCUCGAUGAAGAAAUGACCUAGCUUGCUUUCCUGCAGGAGCAGAUGAAGGUCUCCGCGAGGGUGUGAUUCGUGGCAGUGAACAGAUGGCGGAAUCACAACAGAGCCCGAUCGCCGGCGAGCUUUGCUGCUUCCAAACUGGGCUGCCCGCCGCAAUGGCCCGGAUGUUCUCUUUUGUUUGUCUGCCGUGGGGUCCUGGAAUGCGUAUGUGUAGCAGCUGCUUAGAUACAUCUUGGAGGUAUGGACCCUUCCCAAAUUCCAGACUGCUCCACAGAUUACCCAUCGUUGCCCGGAGUGUUCUAGAGUCUCCAGGGGGCUACCUUGCUCUCUCGGAAAUAGGAACCAACCUCAGUCAAAGCCAAGAUGGUGUCAUCUACCCUCUUGAGAUCUACAGAGAUACCCUGAGACCCACUUCCUCAUCAGACUCCCAGCCCUGCUCCCACCAGACCCCUAGUUCCCCAGAGGACUGGCCCGCUGGGAAGACAGUCCCUCCCCACUGGCUCGCUUGGUUGUCUCUGAGCUCUUUGGUAAAGGCCUGGGCAGUCAGGGCACCUGGCUCCUGGUUUGGCCCACAACUGACCUGCCAUGUGCCCUCAGGCAGGUGACUAAAUCCCUGUCCUGGGGGAAGUUCAACAUUGACCACAGGGGCCCGGACCCACCCAAAGAAAUGAUAGACGUGAGUGAGCUUGGCAAAGUCAAGUGCUACAGCAAAGAACGCUUUGGUGUAGACAUUCAAGCAGGUGCUAAUUCCCUCUCACAGUUUGACUUCUACUGAUUGCUUUCCUGUCCCAUGAAAGAGAAUUAGCAAUUAAACCAUGUGUGGAGCUUCUGCCAUGUUCUAGGUACUUGACGAACAGUAUCCCCAAGUCCCUUUUACAGGUGAGGACACCAAGGCUCAGAGAUGAGGCAGAAGAGACACUUCAUUCCACAAACACGUAUAAAGUGCCUGCUCACUGCGGGCAUUUUGUUAUACUCGACUCUGGGGCUUUGGGCCACCCCCACCCUUCCCUGCACAGAGCUCCCAGCCUGGAGGAAUCCCAAAAGAAUGACGCUCCAACCCAUGACUGUCGGGAUCCAAAGCAAAAUAUUUUCCCACCGUGUUGCUCAUUGAACACAUGUUUUUCCUGAGUCCAGGCGGGGGCCCGAAAGUGCUGCUUCCUGAUCUCACCGAGGACAUGCUGGAGUCCCUUGUCUGUGACCUGCCCCCCUGGAAUGCAUGGGACGCACCCCGGAAGCUCUGGUUCUCCCCUCUCAAGUGCAGUCUCACUGCCUGCAGGUCUUCCCUCCCAGGCUUUCACCCCCUGCCGACCUGAUGCUGGGUGGCAUGUGCUUCCGGCACUCUAGAAGCUUCUGUGGUUCCCCAGGGCCUGUUGAAUUCAGUCGGACUCCUCAGCCCGGAGUCCCAGCGCUCCUCCCCCUGACCCCCCAGCCUUCCCCAGCUUUCCCCUUCC